CCUACGGGCGGCAGCAGUGGGGAAUAUUGGGCAAUGGGCGCAAGCCUGACCCAGCAACGCCGCGUGAAGGAAGAAGGCUUUCGGGUUGUAAACUUCUUUUGACAGGGAAGAGCAGAAGACGGUACCUGUCGAAUAAGCCACGGCUAACUACGUGCCAGCAGCCGCGGUAAUACGUAGGUGGCAAGCGUUGUCCGGAUUUACUGGGUGAAAAGGGCGUGUAGCCGGGCUGACAAGUCAGAUGUGAAAUCCGGGGGCUAAACCCCCGAACUGCAUUUGAAACUGUUGGUCUUGAGUAUCGGAGAGGCAGGGGAAAUUCCUGGGGUAGCGGUGAAAUGCGUGGAUAUUAGGAGGAACACCAGUGGCGAGGGCGGCCUGCUGAACGACAACUGACGGGGAGGCGCGAAAGCGUGGGAGCAAACAGGAUUAGAUACCCUUGUAGUC
rnacentral:rRNA from 1 species